rnacentral:lncRNA from 1 species
UGUGGCGAAUCAGGAACAGUAACUGCGGUAGAUAGGUUCAUGCGCUGUGUCCUUUUCCUCUCAGAGGGACGAGUCAUGAGUGCACGGGUGAUUUGGCGCUACUUGUGUUGUGGGUAACGUCGUGCGGCGCGGGUGUAUGAUUCAGCUCCCGCUGUCGCCGCCAUGAAAGGUUCAUAUCCUCGUCCAUUUACAUUUGUUUGGAACUCAAUGGUACAUACAGUACCUUAGUGACGAUCUGGUAAAACACAGUUCGUCAAAACUUACUAGAGGGAAUAGAAUGGCAUACAUUCGUCAACCCGUUACAAUCCUGGCCCAGCUGGGUACAUCGUCGCACAAUGGAGCCCCCAAAUAUUUCUCUCGAGUAGCAGCCUCCCAGGCCACCAAUUUUUUUUUAAAGGAGUUGGCCACCAAAAACUGGAACAGCAAAAAACGGGCAUUGCCCAUGAGACAACCAUCAACAAGUCACUAAUAAAAGCCAAAAGGUAAAGAAGGGCCUGGCAGAUACUGGCAUUCCAUUCUGGUGAGGGGAGUACUUGUAAUUGACAGUCGAAGCGAUGGCGACAUAAAACAUGAUUAUUAUUUUUUCACAUCAAGUUGAGACUUACACCAAAUAAAAUGCCAGGUUUUUGUUUGCAGGCUCAAUCAGCUGGGACUCGCCAUCUUCUCACCGCCCUCUCGAGUACCUCAGCACGUUCAUGCACGCGCGCUGCUUCCUGCUCCACCCAGGACCUGAUACAGAAAAGGAACUGGC